UACGUAGGUGGCAAGCGUUGUCCGGAUUUACUGGGCGUAAAGAGCGCGCAGGCGGUCGUUCAAGUCGCGUGUGAAAGCCCCCGGCUCAACUGGGGAGGGUCACGCGAUACUGAUCGACUCGAAGGCAGGAGAGGGAAGUGGAAUUCCCGGUGUAGUGGUGAAAUGCGUAGAUAUCGGGAGGAACACCAGUGGCGAAGGCGGGUCUCUGGGCCGUAACUGACGCUGAGGAGCAAAAGCGUGGGGAGCGAGCAGG
rnacentral:rRNA from 1 species